GGCGGGUCUCCCCGCAUGAUGGUCUGGGACAAGGGGUCAGGUGCGGAAGCAAGCAGCCCAUCUCGGAUUCAGCAGUGCCGGGGUUCUGGCUCGCCGCC
rnacentral:SRP_RNA from 1 species